rnacentral:rRNA from 1 species
UACGUAGGUGACCAGCGUUGUCCGGAUUUACUGGGCGUAAAGAGCGCGCAGGCGGUCGUUCAAGUCGAGUGUGAAAGCCCCCGGCUCAACUGGGGAGGGUCAUUCGAUACUGAUCGACUGGAAGGCAGGAGAGGGAAGCGGAAUUCCCGGUGUAGUGGUGAAAUGCGUAGAUAUCGGGAGGAACACCAGUGGCGAAGGCGACUUCCUGGCCUGUUCUUGACGCUGAGGCGCGAAAGCUAGGGGAGCAAACGGG